AGUGAACGCUGGCGGUAGGCCUAACACAUGCAAGUCGAACGGCAGCACAGUAAGAGCUUGCUCUUACGGGUGGCGAGUGGCGGACGGGUGAGGAAUACAUCGGAAUCUACUUUUUCGUGGGGGAUAACGUAGGGAAACUUACGCUAAUACCGCAUACGACCUACGGGUGAAAGCAGGGGAUCUUCGGACCUUGCGCGAUUGAAUGAGCCGAUGUCGGAUUAGCUAGUUGGCGGGGUAAAGGCCCACCAAGGCGACGAUCCUUAGCUGGUCUGAGAGGAUGAUCAGCAAAACUGGAACUGAGACACGGUCCAGACUCCUACGGGAGGCAGCAGUGGGGAAUAUUGGACAAUGGGCGCAAGCCUGAUCCAGCAAUACCGCGUGGGUGAAGAAGGCCUUCGGGUUGUAAAGCCCUUUUGUUGGGAAAGAAAAGCAGCAGGUUAAUACCCCGCUGUUCUGACGGUACCCAAAGAAUAAGCACCGGCUAACUUCGUG
rnacentral:rRNA from 1 species